rnacentral:rRNA from 1 species
AUUGAACGCUGGCGGUAGGCCUAACACAUGCAAGUCGAGCGGCAGCACAGUAAGAGCUUGCUCUUACGGGUGGCGAGUGGCGGACGGUUGAUGAAUACAUCGGAAUCUACGUUGUCGUAGGGGCGAACGUAGGGAAACUUACGCUAAUACCGCAUACGACCUACGUGUGAAAGCAGGGGAUCUUCGGACCUUGCGCGAUUGAAUGAGCCGAUGUCGGAUUAGCUAGGUGGCGGGGUAAAGGCCCACCAAGGCGACGAUCCGUAGCUGGUCUGAGAGGAUGAUCAGCCACACUAGAACUGAGACACGGUCCAGACUCCUACGGGAGGCAGCAGUGGGGAAUAUUGGACAAUGGGCGAAAGCCUGAUCCAGCCAUACCGCGUGGGUGAAGAAGGUCUUCGGGUUGUAAAGCACUUUUGUUUGGAAAGAAAAGCAGUAAGUUAAUACCCUGCUGUUCUGACGGUACCCACAGAAUAAGCACCGGCUAACUUCGUG